AAAAAAUUGCCCUCACUCAGUACCUUCAACACUACAGUCAGGACUCACCUCCGCUCCGAGCCGCAGGCACAAACCCGCCAGGAACACCACCACCGGGAUGGAGCUGUGCAGCAACUUGCAGGACAGAGACCCCGCUUCAUACGGAUUCCUAGGGAGGGAGAUGAGCCUGCAGACACAGACAGCUGAACACAGUCAAACGCUACAGAUCAAAACCAAGGACUCUGCAACGAAGGCUGGUGCAGACAUGGCAGCACUAAGCAGGACACAAUAAGAUGUAAAGCCACAACAACACAGAGCUGAAACCCCU
rnacentral:lncRNA from 1 species